rnacentral:snoRNA from 9 species
GUGAAGCGUGAUGAUGUUUAUCCAUAUAAUUCUGUCGUCAAAAUGAUGAUCACUAAUACAUGCACUACCAUCUGAUUUCUC